AACGUAGGAGACAAACGUUAUCCGGAGUUACUGGGCGUAAAGCGCACGUAGGCGGAUGUGUCAGUCAGGGGUGAAAUCCCGGAGCUCAACUUCGGAACUGCCUUUGAUACAGCACGUCUUGAGUCCGAUAGAGGUGGGUGGAAUUCCUAGUGUAGAGGUGAAAUUCGUAGAUAUUAGGAAGAACACCGGUGGCGAAGGCGGUUCUCUGGGCCUUACCUGACGCUGAGGAGCGAAAGCGUGGGGAGCGAACAGG
rnacentral:rRNA from 1 species